GGGGGGAGCACAGGAUCCUGGGCUGUGUCUCCCGGUGCCCUGGGCUCCAGGGUCUGCACUGCUGGAAUCGCACUCCCCUUCGCAGCCCCCU
rnacentral:pre_miRNA from 1 species